CCUACGGGUGGCAGCAGUGAGGAAUAUUGGUCAAUGGGCGGGAGCCUGAACCAGCCAAGUCGCGUGAGGGAAGACGGUCCUAUGGAUUGUAAACCUCUUUAGGCGGAGAGCAAUGCCGGGACCGCGUGCCCGGAGGGAGAGUACCCGCAGAAUAAGCAUCGGCUAACUCCGUGCCAGCAGCCGCGGUCAUAUGGAGGAUGCUAUCUUUCGCCGGAUUGAUUGGGUUUAAAGGGUGCGUAGGCGGAUUUUUAAGUCAGCGGUAAAGUGUCCGGGCUCAACCCGGGCCGGCCGUUGAAACUGGGGAUCUUGAGUGGGCGAGAAGUAUGCGGAAUGCGUGGUGUAGCGGUGAAAUGCAUAGAUAUCACGCAGAACUCCGAUUGCGAAGGCAGCAUACCGGCGCCCGACUGACGCUGAGGCACGAAAGCGUGGGGAUCGAACAGGAUUAGAUACCCCGGUAGUC
rnacentral:rRNA from 1 species